rnacentral:rRNA from 1 species
CUUUUUCCCCUUCCUUUGCUUUUUUUUCCGUUCGUCUCGUUCCGUUGCGGUCUUCGUUUCGCCGGGGCAAGGAGCGCACGCACGUUCUGGUCGCUCUCUCUCUUCGGCGGCGGCGCGUCGGCGGAGGCCAGAGGGGAGGAGGGGGAGGGGAAGGAGGCCGGCGGCGGGCGGCCAGGUGGCGGCGGACGGGGAGGAGCUCUUCGUUCCGGCCCCGGGGGCCACGGGCCUGCGGGCGGGCAGGACGGGGGCGGCAGGCGCUGGGCCGGCGCGGCAGGAGCGGGGGUCAAGCGGGCCUAGAGCCUUCUCCUCCUCCUCCUCGCUCCAGAGAUCCCAAGGCGCCGCCAGGGCCAAGGGCGCGGGGCAGUCCAGCAAGUUGCAAACCGGUUAGAAUAGAAUAGUCCUCAGACGUAAACAGCCAUGACAGGAAUCUUGGUCUGAAGUAAACCCUGGCCUAAAGCCUACACUGUUUACGGGUGGUUCCACCGACGAAGUCUACAGUAGUCUCAUUCGUGGAGUUCACGGGGGUCGUGUAGCUCGGUGCCAAGGCGUGUUCUACUGAUGCUUAGAAGUCCGCUGCACAUACACACCCCACUUCAAUAGACACUUUCGUGACGUUCUCGACCGAGACUACGCCAUUAGUCCAGCCGACACUCCGUCCUACAGGACGAUGGCUUCGGGAACCUCAGGGUAAAUCAAGAACUACACAUAGUACAUCUAACGCCCCAGUUCGUACGACGAAACCAGUGCUUCUUGCCCCUUCAUAAGUGUACCCCACUUCUCAGACCUCCUGCGGAACCGGUACCUAGUGCUCUUCUAAUACGAGCGGGUUUGAAUCAGUUAAGUAAUCGCCAAAGGUUGCACCUAAAGCAACGAACACCCCUCAAGGUAUGGACACGACACUGUUGUCGACCCCUUGACAUAUGGACCCCUCUACCUUGCGUGUUAUAACCCGAAAACCCGGUACCAUGACUGUAUUCGGUGACCUAAGGAUUUUCCUAAAGUCCUCGUGACCUGCCAGACGUUCAACGAAUACAAAGAACACCUUGGACCGUAUGUCGGAACUAGUGUUGUUAGCCAGUCAAUAAAUGGAAACCACUACCAUGAAAACCUCAAAAUCCGGUACCUUUGGCUCUUUCAUAAAGUACAGGCUCCCUCCAGCUCAGAAAUAGCCCCGACUCUUGUUAACGACAGCGGACACCACAUACCGUGUGACGUCGACAACAUCUUCAAUAUCACUGGGUCAGCUCAAGUUCAAAUAGAAGACCUUUCGAGAAGUGUACCCCUCUACCACUGUUUGUAGCUGAACCAGUACCACUGUUCCUUGGUUCUCAAUUCGGCUGUACACACCGAAGUGAGUAACUAAUGCUAAAAGUGUCCUAUCGUACGCCAGUACCGGAAUGACACCCAGACUGUUGUAGACCUGUCCAAACCUCGUACCCAUUAUGACAAAUACCGGUCGAACCUUUAGUAGCGAGUCUACCAUUCGAGGGUACAAAUCAGCUUCUCUAAUACCCACUUGUCCAACAAGUUCAACGAACACCAAGGAUGGUACAACGUCAAAAUUGUCAAUUCUCACUCCACAAAUGUACCCCUUUUCCUCGGUUACCUUCCAACCCGGUACCUCUAUAUCUGCUGUCCUUUUAUGGAUGCGACCAACUUCGGAAUGCUCUGUCUCCACAAGCCGUGUAAAGGACACCACGCUUGAAGUGUCGCCGGUAUACGGUUGUAUUCAACUACGGUCCUCGCCUCGUCAGUGUUACGUGGAGUACAUCCGUUGGUAAACCCAAAUGGGCCUUCUCCGUAUUAACGGUAUUAACGCCUGUACAGGUAACGUUACGCACGUGAAGCGCUUUCCACAACUCCCGUCGCAACCGAGGGUUAGGACCUUUCGGAAUGGCACAAACACUAAGAACAAAAGACUUUGACUUGUUACGGUAACUGAGGUCACGUUAGUUAUUCUCCUUUCUAUGGCACGGAGCGAUGAGUCCACUUUCGUUAAGACUAUCAUGAUUUAAUCGAUUUCGUUAAUAGGGAUCAUUAAACCUAUACUAAUCUUCAAACCUAUCGUUCCGUCGUUUUGUUCCCUUCUUUUGUCUGCGAGAAAGUAAAGAAGCCAGAGGAGUUUACUCAAGUGAAGAAGUCAACUCCCUAUAACGAAAUAGACCACCCGGACUAGACUCGUCUGGUCAAGGUUCUGGUUGAGCGUGUGGUCGUCAAGCUAGCCAUUUAUGAAGGUCCCGACAGAGGGGAAAGAGAGCAUUCGGAUCAGGUGGUGCAAGAUGGUGUGGUCAAGGCUGUUGAGUACCGGAAAGAUAACGCUUUUCACGAUGACUAUUAGAAUGCUUUUUCUUACUCUACAAUUUAGUCCUUCAACUUUCUGAUGCGCCUGUCCAGCUAUCAGACUCCGUGGCCACACUCCAAGUUCUUGAACUCGAUGUCUUCAGACGGUUCUUUCAUGUUCUCCGGUACUGCGACCAACGUCUCCUCAGACGCUUCAGGUUUCGACGUUUCCUUCAGUAUUUUCGGGAUUGUCGUGUCGAGUUCCUGUACCGACUUUCUGACGGAGGUCUACUACCGUUGCUACGUUUCGUCAGUGUCAAAGGUUUGCCUUAGCUCAGAGUACGAAGGUAAAUGAGAUCGUACCUAAACCUAAGUCAAGUGGUCAGUGCCUUACUCAGAUAGUUACGUAAUUUGUACGGAUCGGACGUGUGCCCUGCUAGGAACGUGGGUUUACCUUAGAGUCCAGUCGUCUCUAGCGGCCCACAAUUACUUUUGUUACUUCACUCACGAGUGUCUGUGUCCCAAAGUUCGGGGGUACUGCCACGUGAAAGCUUAGCUUCUCGUGUGUCGUCAUCACUACUGAACAAGCGGAGCUCGGCGUCUCGCCGACUAUCACGAUCGUACCUAUGAUACAGGGAGGUUUUGCCGCUCCUACCAAUGUCUAGAGCUCCAUGCAACAGUGACAGGUCAUGGCUUCAAUUCCGGCUUACCUAACUUGUCAUACUUGUUCCACAUAUGUAUUGUGACUGCUGCGAAGAACUGCCCUGAGCCCUAGACUUCUCCCAUGCGAAGUCGGCUUCUGCCAAGCCGCUCGUAGUUCGCCUCUCGACCACCUUGCUCUUGGUACUGUUCCAGAUGCUCGCCAUGCCGCACUCCUCGAGGCUCGCUCACAGCAGCCGGCGCAGCUGGGCCAGUCGGGCCACUGGACUCCUGGCUGGACGAGACGGGGCCGUAGGUAGCCUCUAGUGUACUCGAAGGUCCAUAACGGCUACUUAGCAACAGAACAAAGGCAGCUCCGUCCGUCCGUCUCCGUAUGUCCCCGAAACAUCACGACGGGACUACAUUACAUUUAUAUCUCCACUGUUAAUAAUCACACCCUUUCUCCUACACAAGUAGUCUCGGACCUUAGUGAGGAGAAAGGGGUUAAGACAUCGGUUAAGCACAACAUUUUAGGCGUCUUUAAGAAGCCAGUAGCAGACGCCCUCAAAGAGGCAACGUAGGCAGACAAACACGCGCGACUGCACCGCAGCUCGUCUCGAUUAUAUGUACUACUACUACUACUACUAACACAACACCACGUU